rnacentral:lncRNA from 12 species
CUCUGAAGGAGGAUUUCAUUGAGGUGGGCCCGAUGGAGCCAUCUGUGCCUGCCGUCCUAGAUGCUUCCUGUCAAGGCUGGCUUGGCAUUUGUUGACCACUCUCGGCCUAGGAAGCUGUCUGGAUGACUUGGUGAUGAAAAAACAAAAUUCCUGCCUGCCAGAUGGGAACCUAUAUCUCCCCUUGGCAUCGUACAUGGAGCACUGCCAACAGAGACCCAUCAUUGUCUAUUUGUCACUGUGGGGGAUACCCAGGGAGCGUGGUAGGAGCAGGAGCUGUUCAUCCUGGGAGAGUGGGACCUAGAGUUGGGAAGAGAUGGUCCUGGCAAAGGGCAGUGAUUCUGGACCAUUCUUUUGUUCUGUCUAAAGGUUUUCUUCCCUCUGCCAAAUAUGGAGACUCUUUGGCCUAGGUCACUGAGCUAUUCCUGGAAGGUAGGCAGCAUGCCAGUGUUCCAGGCGGGCACUGUUCUCGCUCUGUAAAUAAAUGCAGUAGAGCCACUGCCCAGCACUCCCAGGGACCAGCAGCCCAGUGUGCCUCUAAGCAGGGCUCCCUGAGAAGUGAGGGCCAGAGAGGCAGAGACAUGGAGUCCACCCAUGGUCAUCUUCUAGGUGGUCCCACCAACCUCGUUCAAACCCUGUUGGCCUCUCACUGACAGCAGUGGUCAAGGAGGAGUUGGGAUGCAGCCCUGGAACCUGGCCUUGGGCUCUUGAGUCUGGAGGAGGCAGGCUGGCGCGUUUUCGCAGCUUGAGAUUGGCGGCUGCCUGCGCGGGGUGGGCGCCGGGCUCCAGGCGGCUGUCCGGCUGUCCGGCCGUCUGGCUGUCCGGCCCGGCUGUCCGGCUGUCCGUGCCCGUCUGUUCGGCUGUCCGGCCAGGCUGUCUGGCUAUCCGGCUGUCCCUGCCCGGCUGUCCAGCUCUCCAGCUGUCUGGCCGUCCGGCCGUCCGACUGUCCGGCUGUCCGGCUGUCCGCCCGCGGAGGGCUGCACCUGCCGACGCGUGUGAGCAGGGGGGAUGGGGCCGCCCUCACCGGCCUGGACGGCCGAGCUGCGCCCGACGCUCCCCCUCCGUCCGGCCGCCGCCUUGGGAGGACCGCCUUCCCAGGUCAUCAACGAGAAGGCCAAGAACGAGCCGCCCCGGCCCUAGGGAGUACGAGCGGAGGUUAGAUCUUGGCGACUCUAAACCCACGUCCUCGGCACCUCUCCAGGCCGGAGGGCAACCUCCCGUCAGCUGGCCGGGGCGCGCAGUCUGCGUUCAUCCUUUCAUUCAUUCAUUCAUUCAUUCAUUCACUCGAUCGGAUCGUGACAGGCCUCCGGGGGGCUGAGCCCUGUCUGGGCAUCCCGCGGUGCCCACAGACCUGGCGUCGGAGCUCACCUUCCCGCAGGGGCCUCAGCAAAGCAACAGCGGGAUAGAGAAGUGAACUGAAUUGCAGAUUGUGACAGAUGCUCCGAAGAUACUAGACCAGUCCACACACUGAGUCCAGAAGCCCCGCCUGGAUGGGGGCUGCUUGAGAGGGUCCUGCCUGCGGGAAGGGUGGCUCAGGGUUGAGCGCCUGCCUUGGGCCCAGGGUGUGACCCCCAGGUGGGAUGGAGUCUCACCUUGGGCUCCCUACAGGGAGCCUGCUUCUCCCUCUGCCUGUGUCUCAUGAAUAGAUAAAUAAAAAAAAUAUAUAUAUAUUUUUAAGGCCUGCC